GGGGAAUUCUCCGCAAUGGGCGCAAGCCUGACGGAGCAACGCCGCGUGAGGGAGGAAGGCCUGUGGGUUGUAAACCUCUUUUCUCAAGGAAGAACACAAUGACGGUACUUGAGGAAUCAGCAUCGGCUAACUCCGNNNNNGCAGCCGCGGUAAGACGGAGGAUGCAAGCGUUAUCCGGAAUUAUUGGGCGUAAAGCGUCCGUAGGUGGUUAUAAAAGUCUGUUGUUAAAGCCCACAGCUCAACUGUGGAUCGGCAAUGGAAACUGUAUGACUUGAGUGUGGUAGGGGUAGAGGGAAUUCCUAGUGUAGCGGUGAAAUGCGUAGAUAUUAGGNANAACACCAGUGGCGAAGGCGCUCUACUGGGCCAUAACUGACACUGAUGGACGAAAGCUAGGGGAGCGAAAGGGAU
rnacentral:rRNA from 1 species